rnacentral:rRNA from 1 species
UACGUAGGGGCAAGCGUUGUCCGGAAUUAUUGGGCGUAAAGAGCUCGUAGGCGGCUCAGCAAGUCGGCUGUGAAAUCCCGAGGCUCAACCUCGGAACUGCAGUCGAUACUGCUGUGGCUAGAGUCUGGUAGAGGAGAAUGGAAUUCCCGGUGUAGAGGUGAAAUGCGCAGAUAUCGGGAGGAACACCAGUAGCGAAGGCGGUUCUCUGGGCCAGUACUGACGCUGAGGAGCAAAAGCGUGGGUAGCAAACAGGAUUA